GACACUAUGGCCGAGUGGUUAAGGCGUUUGACUCGAAUUCUCAAGCUCAUCAAAUGGGCUCUGCCCGCACAGGUUCAAGUCCUGUUGGUGUCG